GGACUGCCUUUUGCAUAAUGAGCCUGCGAGUUGUGGUGUCUGGCAAGGUUAAGCAAACGCGAAGCCGUAGCGAAAGCGAGUCUGAAUAGGGCGCUUAGUCAGAUGCUGCAGACCCGAAACGAAGUGAUCUAUCCAUGAGCAAGUUGAAGCUAGUGUAAGAACUAGUGGAGGACUGAACCCAUAGGCGUUGAAAAGCCCCGGGAUGACUUGUGGAUAGGGGUGAAAGGCCAAUCAAACUUCGUGAUAGCUGGUUCUCUCCGAAAUAUAUUUAGGUAUAGCGUUGUGUCGUAAUAUAAGGGGGUAGAGCACUGAAUGGGCUAGGGCAUACACCAAUGUACCAAACCCUAUCAAACUCCGAAUACCUUAUAUGUAAUCACAGCAGUCAGGCGGCGAGUGAUAAAAUCCGUCGUCAAGAGGGAAACAACCCAGACUACCAGCUAAGGUCCCUAAAUCUUACUUAAGUGGAAAACGAUGUGAAGUUACUUAAACAACCAGGAGGUUGGCUUAGAAGCAGCCAUCCUUUAAAGAAAGCGUAAUAGCUCACUGGUCUAGUGAUUUUGCGCGGAAAAUAUAACGGGGCUAAAGU
rnacentral:rRNA from 2 species